rnacentral:rRNA from 1 species
UACGAAGGGGGCUAGCGUUGUUCGGAAUUACUGGGCGUAAAGGGCGCGUAGGCGGCCUUCUAAGUCGAACGUGAAAUCCCCGGGCUCAACCCGGGAACUGCGUCCGAUACUGGAAGGCUUGAAUCCGGGAGAGGGAUGCGGAAUUCCAGGUGUAGCGGUGAAAUGCGUAGAUAUCUGGAGGAAUACCGGUGGCGAAGGCGGCAUCCUGGACCGGCAUUGACGCUGAUGAGCGAAAGCUAGGGGAGCAAACUGGG